CUGGACGAUUGGCUGAUUUUAGCCCACUCAAGGGAUGUGCUAAUCAGUCACGUGGAAACACUGCUUCGCCAUUUGGAUACGCUGGGACUGCGUGUGAAUAUGCAGAAGAGCGUGUUUUUACCGAGCCGGACUAUAACAUAUCUGGGAGUAUGUUUGGACUCGAUGGCGAUGCGAGCUCAUCUCUCUCAAGAGCGAAUAGAGGCAAUUUCAUCGACUCUGCGUCGUUUCAGACCGGGCAGGUCGGUUUCACUGAGGGAAUUUCAGAGGCUUUUGGGACUGAUGGCGGCGGCUUCUUCAGUGUGCCAUCUGGGUCUGCUGCAUAUGCGGCCGCUACAGUUUUGGCUGAAGACCCGAGUUCCGCCGAGGGCGUGGUAUUCAGGCCACAAGCGCAUUACGGUCACUCACAGUUGCGUCAGCACUCUGAGACCGUGGAGCAGCCCGGAUAUGUUCAGCCCAGGAGUUCCUUUGGGUAUAGUGACGCAGCGCACCGUGGUCUCGACGGACGCGUCGACAGCAGGCUGGGGAGCAGUAUGCCUGGGCGUUCCUGCCUCAGGCCUGUGGUCGGAGUCACAGAGAAGGUGAAGCGCAUUGGAGACUUACACGCGUUUUCGGUGAACGACGAUUGCAUAUGUUUCGGACCUGGCGACUGUAAUGUCACUCUCCGGCCGAGACCAGGUUACGUGCCGAAGUCACUCAAUACACCGUUCAGAGCACAGGUUGUUUCCCUGCCCGCCUUAUCUGCUGAGCCGCCAGCCUCGCGUGACGCUGAUGCUCAGAGCACUGUCUGCCCUGUUAGGGCUUUGCGGACAUAUGUGGAUCGCUCGGCCGCCUUUCGUCAGUCGGACCAGCUGUUCGUGUGCUUUGGUGGAUGUAAUAAGGGACGUGCUGUUUCAAAACAGAGACUUUCUCACUGGAUUGUGGACGCUAUUACGUUGGCUUACGAAUGCCAGGGGAAAGAUUGUCCCCUCAACAUCAAAGCUCAUUCCGUGAGGGCAAUUGCUUCCUCAUGGGCCUGGGCUAGAGGUAUGUCUAUCCAGGAUUUAUGUCUUGCUGCUGGCUGGUCUUCCCAGAACACAUUCGCCAGGUUUUACAAGCUGGAUGUACCCUCUGUAGCGUCACAUGUACUUUCGGUGAGUUAAGUUUCAUUCAUAUGUUGUGAACUGUUAUAACCAGCUAUACAGUAGUUACCACAGCUGCUAACUCUGUGUUAUGGUUUAUAAGAUUAUGCAGUUGUCACCGCAAACGCUGUCGACUCUGUGUUUAACUCUCAUGCUUGAGUGCUCAUUGUGUUGUGUCUGCCCUAGUCAGUGCAGCCUUCAUGGUCAUUGCAUGAAGAUAUGCAAAUUUUGUUAGGGUCGGAGCAGAUGUUUCAUUGGUCUAGUUCCGCCUAUCAGAUGCGAGUACUCUUAGCGACGCGGCUAUUGGCUGGAACUGUCUCGCUUAUGUGUGGGUGUGAUUGACCCCGUUCAGGGCUUAUCUUCACUGCUCUCACGGCGGGAUUUAAUACGGUUCCCAUAUACGUCUUAGCUGACGUAAUGUUGAGUUACCGCCUUGAUAGGGAACGCCUCCGGUUACUAUCGUAACCUCGGUUCCCUGAGAGGCGGGAACGAGACAUUACGUUAGCCGCCGUGGUUGCUGUUUGAUCAGCUGUGCUAGCGUUCAGUCGUGAUUCUGACGUAAUUUUCGCGCCCAUGCAUUUUAUACUGCCGGUGACGUGUCAGUAUUUGCAUGCUUCGCGUCAAUUGGCCAGCUGUCCCCAGCUGGCGUUAGCCCAUAAGAUUUCAGCGAAAGUGGAGAAGGGAGGAGUUCCCAUAUACGUCUUAGCUGACGUAAUGUCUCGUUCCCGCCUCUCAGGGAACCGAGGUUACGAUAGUAACCGGAGGCGUUUUCCAAAAAGAACUUCAAAUUUUGAUUCGUCUGACCACAGAACAGUUUUCCACUUUGCCACAGUCCAUUUUAAAUGAGCCUUGGCCCAGAGAAAACGCCUGCACUUCUGGAU
ensembl:lncRNA